CCUACGGGAGGCAGCAGUGAGGAAUAUUGGACAAUGGGCGCAAGCCUGAUCCAGCCAUGCCGCGUGCAGGAAGAAGCAUCUAUGGUGUGUAAACUGCUUUUGUACAGGAAGAAACACUCCCUCGUGAGGGAGCUUGACGGUACUGUAAGAAUAAGGACCGGCUAACUCCGUGCCAGCAGCCGCGGUAAUACGGAGGGUCCGAGCGUUAUCCGGAAUCAUUGGGUUUAAAGGGUCCGUAGGCGGUUUAAUAAGUCAGUGGUGAAAUCUGGUCGCUCAACGAUCAAACGGCCAUUGAUACUGUUAGACUUGAAUUAUAAGGAAGUAACUAGAAUAUGUAGUGUAGCGGUGAAAUGCUUAGAUAUUACAUGGAAUACCAAUUGCGAAGGCAGGUUACUACUUAUGGAUUGACGCUGAUGGACGAAAGCGUGGGGAGCGAACAGGAUUAGAUACCCUGGUAGUCCACGCCGUAAACGAUGGAUACUAGCUGUUCGGAGCAAUCUGAGUGGCUAAGCGAAAGUGAUAAGUAUCCCACCUGGGGAGUACGUUCGCAAGAAUGAAACUUAAAUGAAAUUGAGG
rnacentral:rRNA from 1 species